GGACUCGUGCCUGUGGGGGUCCUGUAGGAGAUCUUGCGGACCUGUGCAGUGGGCCGUCGGAAAGGCAAGCCUGACCCUUUCAAGAGAGGUCAGGCCUGGAGACCAAGGGAAAGACUCUUUUACAGCCCUCAGCACUGUU
rnacentral:lncRNA from 1 species